rnacentral:rRNA from 1 species
GAUCAUGGCUCAGGAUGAACGCUGGCGGCGUGCUUAACACAUGCAAGUCGAACGAAGCACCUUGAUUUGAUUCUUCGGAUGAAGAUCUUGGUGACUGAGUGGCGGACGGGUGAGUAACGCGUGGGUAACCUGCCUCAUACAGGGGGAUAACAGUUAGAAAUGACUGCUAAUACCGCAUAAGACCACAGCACCGCAUGGUGCAGGGGUAAAAACGUACCGUCGGU